rnacentral:rRNA from 1 species
GAUAAACGCUGGCGGCGUGCAUAACACAUGCAAGUCGAACGAUGAAGAUUAAAAGAUUUCUUCGGAAUGAACUUAAUUGGAUUAGUGGCGGACGGGUGAGUAACGCGUGAGUAACCUGCCUUGUACAAGGGGAUAGCCGUUGGAAACGACGAAUAAUACCCUAUGACAUCAAAUAAUCGCAUGAUAAUUUGAUCAAAGAUUUAUCGGUAUAAGAUGGACUCGCGUCUGAUUAGCUAGUUGGUAGAGUCAAAGCCUACCAAGGCAACGAUCAGUAGCCGGCUUGAGAGAGUGUACGGCCACAUUGGGACUGAGACACGGCCCAGACUCCUACGGGAGGCAGCAGUGGGGAAUUUUGCACAAUGGGGGAAACCCUGAUGCAGCGACGCCGCGUGAUUUAGAAGGCCUUCGGGUUGUAAAAAUCUUUUGUAUGGGAAGAAAAUGACAGUACCAUACGAAUAAGGACCGGCUAAUUACGUG